rnacentral:misc_RNA from 1 species
AGCCAGUCUCAUCCUCAACAUCAUUUAGCAAAAUGUCUUCAGGGAUCAUAUUUGCACCUUUAUUCCGAUAAACAAGUCCAGUUCUCAUUACAUGAUAAAACUUAUCUCGUAGACGAGCAAGAGGAUGUGGCUUCACUAAUUUUCCCUGCUGGUAACCUUCUCUAAGAGCAACAGUUGUUGUCUUACACUUCAGUGAAAGGUAGAAAAUCCCUGGAUACCUCGUAAACAGUCGAGUAAACUUAUGUGGAAGAAUCAAUUGCUCUCUCAAGCUCCUCAAGUAGUUCCUCUUGGUCUUCUUAUGAAUUGUAAGGCUCAAAAGCUCAUGCAAAACACCAACAACUCGCUUUUCCAUGAGUUCACUAUUUGGGUCAAUCUGCCUUGAAUCCUCAUAUGGCGAAAUAUAAGGCAACUUCUGAAAUUCUUC